UACGUAGGGUGCGAGCGUUAAUCGGAAUUACUGGGCGUAAAGCGUGCGCAGGCGGUUUUGUAAGCCAGAUGUGAAAGCCCCGGGCUCAACCUGGGAAUGGCAUUUGGGACUGCAAGGCUUGAGUGCGGCAGAGUAGACUGGAAUUCCUGGUGUAGCAGUGAAAUGCGUAGAUAUCAGGAGGAAUACCGAUGGCGAAGGCAGGUCUCUGGGCUGACACUGACGCUCAUGCACGAAAGCGUGGGGAGCAAACAGG
rnacentral:rRNA from 1 species